GAUGAACGCUGGCGGCGUGCUUAACACAUGCAAGUCGAACGGAGGACCCUUGACGGAGUUUUCGGACAACUGAUAGGAAUCCUUAGUGGCGGACGGGUGAGUAACGCGUGAGCAACCUGCCUUGGAGUGGGGAAUAACACAGUGAAAAUUGUGCUAAUACCGCAUGAUAUGACUGUAUCGCAUGGUACUGGUCAUCAAAGAUUUAUCGCUCUGAGAUGGACUCGCGUCUGAUUAGCUGGUUGGCGGGGUAACGGCCCACCAAGGCGACGAUCAGUAGCCGGACUGAGAGGUUGGCCGGCCACAUUGGGACUGAGACACGGCCCAG
rnacentral:rRNA from 1 species